rnacentral:tRNA from 1 species
GAGGGUAUAGCUUAAAUGGUAUAGCACAUGUUUAGCAUGCAUGAGGUCCUGAGUUCAAUCCCCAGUACCUCCA